CCCUCUUCAGACAACACCCACCAACCUAAACCUUGUGCUAUUUGCUGAAUCCUCUCUUGUCAAUUCCCUCCAUUCAUUAGAGGGAGCAAAAAUGUGGCUAAAUCUUGUGUCCUUACUAGUAUUCCUCAAAGGAGUCCAAUCUCAAGUGCAGCUGGUGGAGUCUGGAGGAGAUGUGAGAAGACCUGGGGAGUCCCUCCGUCUCUCCUGCCAAGCCUCUGGAUUCACCUUCAGCAGCUAUGCAAUGUACUGGGUGAGACAGGCUCCUGGGAAAGGACAGGAAUGGGUGUCAUACAUAAACUCCAAUUCGGGUAUUCUUAGAUACUCAGAUAAAGUCAAGGGCCGCUUCACCAUCUCCAGCGACAAUGCCAGAAGCCAUCUGUAUCUGCAAAUGAACAGCCUCAAAGCUGAAGACACGGCAGUCUAUUACUGUGCUACAUACACAGUGAGUGGAAAGGAAUCUGAUGCCAGGCAAGAACCUUCCUUUCUUCAGAGCAGCUCCUCAACUUAUUUAAACCUCAAAUCCUGGUUUAUCGAUGUUUGA